GUUACUGUGCUUAUGAAGGAGGCACACUACCGAUUAGGAGGAGGAAUGUACUGACUGCUCCAUGAUCCCGACAGGCUGCAGAAGACUAGAUCUUCCCUGUGUUUGUUUGGGGGCGCAGCCAAGAGACGCAAGAGAGAGGGAAGAAAACCUCUGUAGAACCUUGCUCUGUUCACGGCUGCGAAAGGACUGUAAAGGUGACGAUCGCACGGGGACAGUGGGCGGGACGAGGAGACCCGCGGGGUCCGGCCGAGCCGCAGAGCCCCUGAGGGGACUGAUCGGCG
rnacentral:lncRNA from 1 species